AGGUCUCGCUUUUGGUCAGACCCGGAAGUCCCUCCAAUGGGAAGGCCAAGCACGAGCCGGUGGGCAACGGUUCCGAGUUCGGUGAUGACGGUGGCUUCACUUCCCAGCCACUCCGCGUGCAUCCUACGCACACCCUGCGUGUCCGCCUGUCCCGCCAGAGGGCCGGGUGCAUUCCUUCCGCUCCCCUGGACACUCUCUCGUUAGAAAGCGAUGACUGGUUGUUUGACCUGAGGGUCACCACGUCUCUGGUGAGGGGAGAGGUUGAGAAGAAGAGUCCUUUGUUGUCACCGCAGUUUGUGAUGUGAAUUAGCUGGUGUUACUCUGUAUUGCAAACCAACCCUCCAGCUAACUCGACAAAAUGACCCCCGAUCUUCAACUAAAGUUGUUCUGACAGCAAGACAGUAUGUGAACAAAUUAAAACUGCAGAUUUGACUUUUAUAUCUUGGGAUGAGAUGGCACAAGUUCAAAAGCAAUAUUUCAAACCUCCUCUUUCUAAAGAAGAACUGUCAGUGCCAUUGGCUGAGAUAUUGAUAUGCAAGCAGCAGUCUAACAGUAACACAUGCAAUAAUGUCCAGUUCACUAGGAAGGCACCCACAGAGAGAAAACAAAGACUUCUAAUCCACCCAACACAACAAAGUGAAGUAACUUCAUACUUCAGGACAGAUGUGACAGCAGGUCAAGAAUGAAAAUUUGUUUGGACAAAAUUAAAAUGACCUUUAUAUGAUUCCAUGAAACCAGGGCAAAGUUCAAACACAGGCUCUUCCAUGAUGGAGAUGAAGUCAUGGACCAAUAACUGGAUUUAUAAAAAUGAAAAUCCUCCUCUCAAGAUCACAAUUACAUUUUAUGUAUUUUUGAUUGGGACUGAAUUGGGAAAAGGAGUGCUUUUGAGAAAAGGACUAAGAAAAAAUUGCCUUACUUUUAAAAAGCAAGCAACUGAAGCUUACUGUGUGUUGUGUUUACAUGGCUGAUUUGUUUAAUAAGUGGGGAAGUAUUUGUAAAUGGCCUGGCUCCAAUGGUUUGUGUACAAAGUGGGAUUUGGCUAGCAACAAAUUGUUGAUUGGUUGGUGGAAUUGAAACCAAUUGUGAAUGUGAAAGGCAAUUAGCCUGACAACAACUAUCUGAUUGGCUCCUGGGUAACUGAACAACAAAUGCCCCAACAGGUCAAGAACAGCUUCUUCCCAGCUGUUAGACUGCUGAAUAGACCUCUCUAAUUUCAAAUAAUGUUGAUCUUGCUAAUGUAAAUCUUGUCUUGUACACCUCCUGUGCAGCCAUUACCUUGUAUGCCUCACUCUGUGUAAGCACCUAUGAUCUGUAUGUCCUUGUUUACUAUCAUCUGCCUGUAUUACUUGCAAAACAAGACUUUUCACUGUGCUUAGGUACAUGUGACAACAAUAAAUCAAAUCAAAUCAAA